GCCGCAGUAGCUCAGCUGGUAGAGCACGUCAUUCGUAAUGAUGGGGUCGGGGGUUCGAAUCCCUCCUGCGGCA
rnacentral:tRNA from 1 species